rnacentral:rRNA from 1 species
GGAUAACCGUAGUAAUUCUAGAGCUAAUACAUGUAUAAAGUCUUGUGACUGCAUUUAUUAGAAUGAAAACCAUAGGUUUCGGCCUAUUCGUGAGUAAUAAUAACUAAUCAUAUCGUAUGCUUAUGUAACGAUGUGUCUUUCAAGUUUCUGCCCUAUCAGCUUUCGAUGGUAGUGUAUUGGACUACCAUGGCAGUAACGGGUAACGAAGAAUUUGGGUUCKAUUUSGGAGAGGGAGCSUGAGAGAUGGCUACCACAUCCAAGGAAGGCAGCAGGCGCGUAAAUUACCCAMUCCWGACACAGGGAGGUAGWGACAAUAAAUCACAAUGCG